ncrna:unclassified sequences DTF2800 RNA
GCCUUGGGCAUGGCAUAAAACUGCUCACCGCCAGACACCGCAUCACUUGAUCACUGAUGGCUCAACGGUAUCUGACGGACAACUGAAUACUGUAGCUGCCUUUUGAGCGGGUUUGCUGCAAUCCGAAACGGAGAACUCCGUUAGGACUGCGGUCGGUUUCCUAUGCUCAUUUUUCGGCAGCACC